rnacentral:rRNA from 1 species
CCUACGGGGGGCAGCAGUGGGGAAUAUUGGACAAUGGGCGAAAGCCUGAUCCAGCCAUGCCGCGUGUGUGAAGAAGGCCUUCGGGUUGUAAAGCACUUUCAGUGGGGAAGAAAGCCUUGGGGCUAAUACCCUCGAGGAAGGACAUCACCCACAGAAGAAGCACCGGCUAACUCCGUGCCAGCAGCCGCGGUAAUACGGAGGGUGCGAGCGUUAAUCGGAAUUACUGGGCGUAAAGCGCGCGUAGGCGGUCUGAUAAGCCGGUUGUGAAAGCCCCGGGCUCAACCUGGGAACGGCAUCCGGAACUGUCAGGCUAGGGUGCAGGAGAGGAAGGGAGAAUUCCCGGUGUAGCGGUGAAAUGCGUAGAGAUCGGGAGGAAUACCAGUGGCGAAGGCGGCCUUCUGGACUGACCCUGACGAUGAGGUGCGAAAGAGUGGGUAGCAAACAGGAGUAGAUACCCUGGUAGUC